AUGUGGGAGUACUCAGUAUGUAGCCCUGCCCGCAUUUUUCAGUCCCUCCGCUCCCAAAACAAGGAAAAGUAUUGAAAUACAAAUGCUUCCUUUAUCAGCACUUUUACAUUUUACUUUGCGACUCAAAUUGCUCGACUGACUUAAGUUAGCAAUACCGAGCACGCACGGAGACAGUCACCACUGGAGCGCUGGAUUACAGCUUUUUUGAUUAUUAUUUACAACUGCAUCUUAUCCAUUAUGUCAAAAAUGUGGAACUUUAUCGAAACCUACUAAUCGAAAUCCACCCGGUCACCUUCGAGUGAUCAAAAGGCACGUUUGUCGUGGUUUGCGUACUUUACUUACAACAAAAGGCCGGUUAUCUUCAUUGAAGAGAAUGGGACAUCCUCCACUCGAGUUCAGCGACUGUUACUCCGACAGUCCAGAUUUCAGAGAGAGAUUGAAAUGCUACGAAAACGAGUUGGAAAAAACCAACAAGUUCCUAAAGGAUGUCAUCAAGGACGGGAACAAUGUGAUCAACGCGAUCAAAGAGUACUCGCUAGGAGUGCAGAAGUUCUCUCAGACCCUUCAGUCGUUCCAGUUCGAUUUCAUCGGUGACACUCUGACUGACGAUGAGAUGAACAUUGCGGAGUCAUUUCGAGAGUUUGCUGGUUUGCUGCAGGACGUGGAAGAAGGUCGAAUGAUGCUGGUCCAGAAUGCCUGUGACUUGCUUAUCAAACCGUUGGAAAAGUUUAGGAAAGAGCAGAUUGGGGUCACAAAAGACAGAAGAAAGAAGUUUGAGAAGGAGAGUGAGAAGUAUUACUCUCAGUUGGACAAACAUAUGAACCUGUCCUCAAAGAAAAAAGAAACACAGCUACAAGAGGCUGAUGAACUGUUGGAUAAGGAGCAUCAGGCAUUUUAUGAGUCGUCUGUUGAAUAUGUGUACCAGAUCCAGCAGGUUCAGGACAGGAAAAAGUUUGAUGUUGUGGAGCCUGUAUUAGCAUUUCUGCACAGCGUCCUAACCCUGAAUAAUCUCACCGUGGAGAUGACACAGGACUUCCUUCCAUAUAAACAGGAGCUUCAGCUCAGUCUACAGAACACCCGGAACCACUUUGAGAGCACAAGAGAGGAGAUGGAGGAGCUCAUGAAGAGGAUGAAGGGGUCGGCACAGAUCUGUAUUAGACACAGCCAGCAGGCAACUAUGGAGGGAUACCUUUAUGUGCAGGAGAAAUGGGCUCUUGGUGUAACCUGGAUUAAGCAUUACUGUAAAUACUUUAAGGACAACAAGCUGUUCAUCAUGAUGCCAGUGGAACAAAAGACAGGAACCAAACAGACCACAGCUCACCUCACGCUGAAGUCCUGCAUACGCCGUAAAACAGACUCCACUGAUAAACGCUUCUGUUUUGACAUCGAGACAAGUGAAAGGUGCGGCCCUGUCCUGCUCCAGGCUAUUUCUGAAGUCAACAGGAAGCAGUGGAUAGAAGCCAUGGAUGGCAAAGAACCGAUUUAUCAUUCUCCGAUUCAAAAGCAGGCAGAGAUGGACCUAAAUGACAUCGGCUUCAAGUUUGUCAGAAAAUGCAUCAACUUUGUGGAAACAAAAGGGCUCACUCAGGAAGGAGUCUACAGGACUGUGGGCAGCAACAUUCAAGUACAGAAACUUCUGAAUGCCUUCUUUGACCCACAGUGUCCAGCGGAUGUAGAUUUCAAUUCCCCAGACAUGGACAUUAAGACCAUCACUAGUGCUUUGAAAUUCUAUCUACGGAGUUUGAGUGAACCGCUGAUGACCUACAGCCUGCACGGAGAACUGAUCUUAGCAGCAAAGUCGGAGAAUCUGGAUUAUCGGUUAGGGGCGGUUCACUCACUUGUUUACAAACUCCCAGAGCGAAACAGAGAGAUGCUGGAACUACUAAUCAAACACCUGUUCAGUGUUUGCAGCCACAGCAGUGAAAAUCUGAUGACCAUUUCAAAUAUGGGUGUAAUAUUUGGCCCCACUCUCAUGAGAGCAAAGGAGGAAACUGUAGCGGCCAUGCUAGAUAUUAAGUUCCAGAACAUCGUCAUGGAGAUCCUCAUUGAGGGCUACAGCAAGAUCUUUAAGGGUCCUCCUGAAGAAACCAUACUGCCUCCUGUUCCUCCUCCAAGGGUGACGCCACGGAGACGGCAGCCAAUCACAAUCUCAAAACGCCCACCCCGUCUCUACCCGGGCCUUCAGCCUCCAGUUUUUGAGCGGCGAGAGCAAAAUGGUGCCACCCACAAUUAUGGUGAACCCGAGGGAGAUACCAGCCUCAUCAGUCCGUUUCCUCAUCAUAGAACGAAACUGGAACCUCCUUCUGUCGCUCCUCCAUCCAUCCCGCUCUCCUCUCCAACCUCUCGGAAGCUUGCUCACUCCAGAACUGCUCUCCGGCCCUUGGAUGCUGAUGUCAGCAGGCUUGAAGUUAAGACACAGGAUGGACAGAGGUCGGAUGCCAUGGUGACCACCAAUAGGGAUUCAGGAGUGACAGUGAACCGAAAUAUAUCUUUUCAAGGAAGGAAGCCAGCACUCAGAGGAACAACUGGAGAGGCUCAGGGGUUGACAAGACGAUCUUUCUCAGAGAAGAGUUCCAUCUGCCGGCCACCCACUCGACCACCGGAUCCACCCUCUCGUCUCCUCAAUAAAACUCCUCAUGAAGACCCUCCAGCCUCAUAUGUUGCCUCCAAAACCAAAUUUUUUGAGAACGCUUCAAGGCAGGUGGGGAGAUACCUGGCCAGUCAAGCACACCAACACCAUGGUCAUUUAAACAACUUUUGGUGCUUUUGGCAGUGUGGGCAGGUGCCAAAUCCUGCUGGAAAUGAAAUCAGCAUCUUCAAAAAGCUGAUCAGCAUGAAGUGCUCCAAAAUGUAUUGGUAAAUGGGUGCAGUGACUUUGGUUUUCAAAGAACACAAUGGACCAACACCAGCAGAUGACACUGCACCCCAAAUCAUCACAGACUGUGGAAACUUAACACUGGACUUCAAGCAACUUGGGCUAUGAGCUUCUCCACCCUUCCUCCAGACUCUAGGAACUUGGUUUCCAAAUGAAAUACAAAACUUGCUCUCAUCUGAAAAGAGGACUUUGGACCACUGGGCAACAGUCCAGUUCAUCUUCUCCUUAGCCCAGCUCCUCUCCGAACGUCUCACCUGCAGCUUCUAGAGAUGAGAACACUAAGUAAGAACUUCCUUUCAGUCACAACUUGUGGAUUGAUGUCUUGUGGACCAAUUAACGCACAUCAGUGGUCAUGAGAGCACAGGCCGGCGUCUGGUCAUGGUUUUGAGAGAUAAAUUAUUAACACUUCUUGACUUCAAUUUUCUUUCUUUUUUUCUUUCUUUUUUUGUGAAUGAAUCAGAAAGGGUACCGUUUUUUUUUUUUUUUUUUUUUGUGACAUAUCGCCAAUUUCUGCACUUGCUUUGCUGUAAAACAAAGUAUUUGAUUCUUGCUUGGAUCAAAGAACAAAAAGAAAGCAUUGAAUCUUUUUUUUUUCUUUCUUUCUUAAACAUUUUGACCUUCCUGUGCACAACAGGGAGAACUCCCUCCUGGUCUCUCACUAAUUCUGUCCCUCAGUAUCUCCCCUAUUCAGUGACCUACUUGGUUUUAUAGUCUCACUCUACAGACACACUACAGACUUCACUUUAAGAGCUAUAAAAAGUGGGACAGCCCACAUGUAUCAGAUAAUAUUCCGAAUCAACACUAAUCACUAUUUAAUUACGCAGAAGCUGAACAUGCUGUUAUUAUAUCAGUAAUUAGUAACUGGAAGGAGAUGAAUGACCUGGGUGAUGGUUUUAAAUGUUUUUGACAAGCAGAGUAGUUUCUGUAAUAGCAAAGCGUUUCUCCUUUUAUCUAGUGGGACACACUAGUGGUGUUCAUACAAAAAGAAAAAACCCAAAAGGGAUCAAGGAACUUUUGUUACUUCAACUAGUUCACAGAGCAAAGUAUGCUUCAGUACGCUUUUCUCUCUCUCUUUCUUGGCCAACUUUUUUUCCUUUAUAAAUUAUCAGUUGACCUUACUGAUAUAGAGGUCAGUUUCAGUAUUGAGCUUAACCAGACUUUUAAGUCUCAAACUUUGACUGAAACAUGAGCCUUUAACGGUUUCUUUUGGUCACUGUGAAUCUUAAAUGUGAAAGCUAAAGAUUUUACAGUAAAUCUCACUCUCACAUAACUGUAAAAGUGGAAAUAAGAAGAAAACAAAGACAAUAUAUAUUUUUUUAGUACUUCUGAUGUAACAAGGUUGAAAUUUUAGGUUACUUUAUGAGGGUUUGGCAUGAACUCAGUUGUGCAUUCAUUCUUAUGUAAUAUUAUUAUCUAAAGCUCCAAAUUUCCAGUUGACAUUUUAUGUAUAUUUUUUUUGUAAAUAUUUUGUUGUUUCUUAAGCUGGUCAUUAACUCUUGAAACCCUAACAGUCAGUAACAGUUGUUUGUUUGUUUGUUACUUUAUUAAAAAAAACAAAAUUAUGAAAUGUGUUUUUUUUUUCUUAUGAAUGAAAGCCAUAGGUGAAAAUGCACUGAGCUGACCCAAAGUAAAAAAUAAAUCUAUACAAUGAAAUGGCCUUGGGAUAAUAAUCAAUAAAUGAUUGGAAGGAGAACCAACCUCUGGAAUCCAGUUAAAUUAGAACAGCUGCGCAUCAGUCAAAAUCCUAAAUGCAAAAAAAGUCAUAGCCUAAACAGUUUAGACAAGUUUCCACCGCAGAAACGCUUCUUGUGCCCAACUGCUUUUGCAUGAUAUAGUUUAGGUCCACCCAAUUCAGGGUGUGUCUCACGAAAAAGUUGCAGAGAACAACUUUCAAGAUUUUCUAAUGUUUUUUUAUUGAAUUGAAAGCGGUAAAACACAAACAAACUGGAUUUACACAGGCUCUACACAACAAGAAUCAGUUAGGGUUUUUUCAUGAGUAAAAAUUUUCCAUGAGUAAAAUCAGUUCGCAAACUGCUCGAAAGAAAUCGUCAGUUGAAAACUGUCAAUACAACACUACAUAGCAGUACUAAAUAAUCUGCGAAAAGCAUGCAUGCACACACACACUCACACAUACAGACAACUGCUGUAAAAAAAAGACUAUAAAGUUACAAAGAUUUAAGUAACAAACAUCAUUUAAGAAGCCAGAAUUCCCUCUUCUAGUAACAUAAAGCCAAACUAGCUCCUCCUGCAUAUGGAAAAGCAAAAAAUAUCCCAUAACACCAGGAAAAGACAGGAAUUAUUCACACCAGAGAAAAAAGCUGUAAAAAAGCAUUCACUAAAGAUUAAUUGCUUGUAUCAGCCAGCGAAGAAAGUUAAAAAACCAAGUCUUUGUUACAUAUAUAUAUGGGAGUUUUUAUAUGGUUUACAAAGCUGAAAAAGGACAUAAAUAGAUACAGCUCUGCCAGCAAACAACUCAUAUGGUUUCUGCACAUUUAGCAUCUGUAAACCAGUGUGGUGCUCUCAGUUCAACAUACAACUUUAUGUCAAGAUACUACACAUUAGAAACCCCAAUUACUUUCCUGAUUGCUGGGGAAAAUAUAUCAGCGAGAAACUGUUUAGUAACGUUUCCCCCAUAGUAGAAAGAACAAUUUACAACAGGAAGCAUCCUGGUGACAUGCAGACUGUUAUUAAGACUCCAGCUUAUCUUGUUCAUGUGAGAGUAGAAACAUUGGUUGGAUCAAAGCAAACCUUGUUUUGUCAUCAACACAGGCCAAAUUCAGUAUUUUACAAAAGACAAAAAAAGCCCUUUUUGCUUUCUUCCCCUUUUUUAGGACUCCCUAUAAGGACCUAUAAGUGCCUUCUAACAGAUUUAUAAGAGCACAUAAUAAACACACACAUAUGCUUUUGCUAUUGGUUGACCAAACUUUAAUUGAAAACCAACACGCAAAGUUCUACAUCAUAGCUAAUAAGAGAUGUGUUCAGAGAGUCACAAAGCAGCUUAUCCAAGCACGAGUCGGUUCACGAGCACUGCGCGAGCCAAACGAGUCGUUACAUCUGACUGACAUUACAAACAGACAAUAUUAUAAGACAGCGAGAGAACGCGUCCUUCGCAAAGUCAAGUAUAAACGAACUAUAUCUGUUUAACAUGCAAGUGCGCCCUCCCAGAAUCCGUCGGCUAAUGAACGACUUUGUGAUUAGACUUUGGCUUCGGCUCUGUCCUAAAGCGCUGCAGGUUUGUGGGGAAAGUCAUGACUUCUUUUUUGGCAGGGUAAAAGUGCAGUUUGGAGUUCUGCAAAUUCUAAUGAGUGCUUUUGGGCCGUCAAAAUGGGUAAACACCUGCGUGUAAUUGCGCGGAGCUCGGUGCUGUCAGCGCAGAGGAGCUGUCUCUGACAGCCUAUUCUCUGUCUGGCACAUUUAAACCGUCAACAUGCUCCGCGGCGACAAGAGCUCGAGCAGCUAAACCACAUCUCGUCGUCUCAGCUCACUGGGAAACUCUGUGCUCUGCCGAAAGUACACCCCAGGUCACCCAGGCCUGACAAAGACAACACAGCGCCGCGAUUUUAGGGCUCUUUAAAGAGUAAUCUACAUACAUAACGCUGCAGGCAUUAUUCAAUCAUUUAGAAACGGAGAGCGUGCGGAGGGAAGUUGACACGACGUCUAGAAAACACGCGCUGCGCCGGAGUACGAGGAAAACGAGUAAAGAUGUUCCGUUCUGACAGAUACAUAGAGGAUGCUUUAAUUGAAGCGAAAGCGGAGUAAAAAAUACAUAGGCCUUGUUUUUUUUUUUUUUUUUUUGUCUCGUUUAAAGGGAUUGUUCACCAACAAACGAAAAUUGUGUUAUCAGCCUCAAGUUUUUCCAAUCCUGUUGUAGCCUAGUUUCUUUCUUCUGUUGAACACAAAAGAUUUUUUGAAAAUAUUACUUCCACUGUAUUUUCCCCCAUACAACCAGCAACUGCUGCAUGUUUACAAACAUACUGUGUGUUCAGCAGAGAGAAAGAGAGAGAAACAAAACAACUAGGCCUACUAGAGGUUGAGAACAACUUAAAAUAUUGUAAAUGAUGACAGAAUUUUCAUUUUUGGGUGAACCAUCCUGUUAGCGUCCUCGUUAAUAAAGAGGAGAGCUUCAGCACCACUCGUCGUUGAUUUGCGACAGUUAAUGGUGUAAAGGUAGACUAUUUGGUACGAGUUUCUGAAAAAAUAACAGUCCAGCGUUAGCACAUAAGCAUAGCUCUUUUUUAGUGUUUUUUUUUUUAAAGCUGUGCACCAUUUGAAGCAUGUUUUGGUAUUCUAAAAGAGCUCAUUAAAAGAGUGUGUUAAGCUUGUGAUUGCUUAUUGCUUUGCGCGAGAAAUACAAAUCCCUCAGUGGCACUUACUAUAAAGGAAAGAGGAAACUGUACUGUAAAACUAUUGACUACAUCCAUACAUUAGCACAUAGAAAGAUUUAAAAGGACCACGCUUAACUUUUACAGAUAUAUAUACAAGAACAUUACCUUGCCAAAUUUUCCAUUAAGGACAGUGAAAGAGAUAAAGAGAGCGAGCAACUUCAUAAGAGCCUUAUGGGAAACAGUCCCGUUUCCUAACAAUAUCCAUUUAGCUUACUGGAAAGACAGUUAGGUUUGUUUGAAUAUCUAGGGCUUUAUCAUGCAAUUAUUUGUUGUUUUGUUGAUGAAUAUGAAGACUGCAUGCAUAGAUUUAUAUAUUUGUGUACAUAUUUGAAGAUCUUCUUUGCUGACCCAAGCCUUGCUGUAUUUAUGUACAAACUGUCAACAAUAUACCCUAAAACCUGCACUUAAAUUUCCAGGUUGCAUCUUAACAAAAGUCUGCUGUCUGGCGGCAACUCUUGAUGAUGUUUCUUUUAUUAUUGUGCUGUUCUUUCAUUCUUAGUGUCGAAACCCAACUGUGAGAGACUUUCAAUUGAAUGACAAAGUCACAAAUUGUCUGACCCAAAAGAAUGAUGCCUCUUUUAAAAGCUUUUAAAAAGCCUCUACAUUUCAUAAGAAAUGAAUGAAGCACUUGUUUUACAAUCAAUAAACUAAUAAAGCAGGAAGGAGAGUGAUAGCCAGCCUGCAUUACUGAAAUACUGUUGUAAUACUACAAUACUGUAUUUAGUAGUGUGUUGUUUUAACUCACAAGAGUAAGUCACAAGCGAAGAGAUCCUGUCACCGUUUGUGUCACGUCUGGAUGUAUUUCUCUAUGCAUACUGCUUUGCUUUUCCUGAUCUCUCAAGUCAUGGACAAUAAAUGAAACCUUCUUACACUGCAGUGCAUAGAGUGGAGGCAGGUCACAGACUCUGAUAGAGAUCUGCAUAAUGUCCUUUUUUUUUUUUUGAUUAAGGGCUCAGAUGAAACUUCAGUGUGAUAUAUAUUUUUUUCCAACCUGUCCACCAGGCAACAAGCUGUAACUCUUGAAGGAUAACUGCUGGUCGAAAGAAAGAACAAAACCUGCUUCACGCCAUGCUGUCAGUUUGAGAAAAUGAGCUCAAAUGAUCUCUGAGGAGAAGAUAGACAACUGUAAUGAUGUAAUGGUCCCGCUACUUUUCAGGGCCAUUUUUCAAAAGGAGAGAGAGAGACGAGACUGAUAAAGAAAGGGAGGGAGGGGGG